rnacentral:rRNA from 1 species
AUGGAUCAGAUGCAAAAAUGUAGGGAGGACAGCUCAUCUCGUCAGGCCUCUCCCCCCCUAAGGCGGCGGCGCCGCGCCGCCCUCAAGGAGUCCCCGCCCUCAGCCCUCCCCCUCCAUCGCCUCCCUCUACCGCCGCCGUCGCUGAUGACACUAUGGGGCGAAGCCCCUGUGGUGAGACAGCGCCGGCGGCGCAGUCCUCGGCCGGUGGUAACGCGUGGGGGCAGCAGCGUCCAUCUCCCUCCUCUUCCAACGGCAGUGCGCAGCAGGUUGCACCUCGUCUCGACAACGACAAGAGGAGACCCCCCUGAGUAA